rnacentral:lncRNA from 1 species
AGAGGAUCUCUGCUGUAACGUGACAUUUUCUAAGGCUCCCAUAGGCUCUCAGAAGGCGCCAGAACGGGGAAUGAUGACUCUGCAGUCCCUGGCUGAAAAACAGUAGCGCAUUUGGAAAGUGGUCGAUCUGAGAACAAUGACACGGGCGCGCGUGCACGUGAAGACACCAUUUUCUUCUUUCAGUCUUUGAACGAAAACAACGUCUCCCGGUCGGAAUAUUAUCGCUAUUUUACGAGAAAAAUCGCGUAAAAAUUGAUUUUAAACAGCGGUUGACAUGCUUCGAAGUACGGUAAUGGAAUAUUUAGACAUUUUUUGUCACGACAUGUGUCCGCGGUUGUUCGGAUAGGGACCUGAACGCACGGACAAAACAGAGGAUAUUUGAACAUAACUAUGGAUUAUUUUGAACCAAAACAACAUUUGUGGUUGAAGUAGAAGUCCUGGGAGUGCAUUCUGACGAAGAACAGCAAAGAUGCAGCAUCAACGGGUUGGGAGAUGGAAAGCUCAGGAGAAAGGAUGCAGCAGCCAAAUCCAGAGCCACUACAGUAGCAUCAAAUCCCACCAGGCUCCUCUGGGUUGACUUGCCCUGACCGAGUCUGCUACAGAAUCUAACUUUACAGAUUCAAACACCCAGAGACAGGACUCUCACAGGUGUCCGCACACAGGAAGUGAAUGCAGUAUGGAGGAACCGAGGUUGUGGUCGGGUUCCCCUGCUCAGACGUAACAUGCAUCAAAUAAUGGUUGAAUGCCACUUCAUUAACUGUUCUGUCAGGCACCAGAUUGCUGUAACAUAAGAUGUGGCUUACCUGAUACAUAAAAUACCUAUCCAGGCGUUGUAAGAGCAUGCAUCAGCAACACCUGGGCUGAGGAACGCACCCUUUGUCUCAGCAUGUAGUGCAGGGUUUCCCAAACUCGGUCCUGCCACAAACAGCCAGCAUACAGAGAAUUUGAGCACACCAUGGCAAAUGGUCUAUUUGGCUUGAAUGAUGCAACUGCUGGUUAAAUGUGUUUCCCAUUCAUCAUGAACAAGAUUAAAUGGCUACUGUAAAUAACAUUACAAUAAGUUGGGUCUAUAAAGAAUGAACCUUUAUUAUCCCUCAAAUUUUAAUCAGGGACUGAUUUAGACCUGGGACAGCAGGUGAGUGCAAUUCAUUAUCAGGUAGAACAUAAAACCAGCAGUACUCCGGACCUCGUAGGGUAAGAUUUGAAUACUCCUGCUAUAUUUGAUACAUUUUAUGGACCUUGCUGUGGACUUUCGAAAGCUAGAAAAGUAUUGCAUUUAGCUUACAAUAUAAUUGACAAGAUUUUAAGGGCUCUUGUAUUGUUACCCCUUUAUAAGGUGUAUUACUCUGAAAAACAAUAUAAUUAUACUGAAAUGAAAGGUGCAAUAUGCAGAAAUUGCUCUGCCAUUUCCUGGUUGCUAAAAUUCUAAUAGUUCACCUUUCAGUUUAUGUGACAAAACAAGCAAUGUAUAUUGUAGAGAAUCAUUAUACCAUCUAAACUGCUGUGAAAUAUAUUUUCAAAAACCCAAAAUAUUGUACUUUCAGCUGUUGGAAGAUGGUAUACAAAACCGAAAGUAAAAGAUGCAGAAAUUAAACUUAAGAAUGGGGAGCAUAGUAAUAGUGUCAGGGAUUUCUUCGUCGGAGGACGAUAUGGCGAAAUCAUCAUCGGAAAAUGAGGACCAAUAUGCA